rnacentral:rRNA from 1 species
GCGCAUAGUACCGUGAGGGAAAGGUGAAAAGAACCCCGGGAGGGGAGUGAAAUAGUACCUGAAACCGUAUGUCUACAAGCAGUCGAAGCGAAAGCGACGGCGUGCCUAUUGAAGAAUGAACCAACGAGUUAUCUGCACUAGCGAGGUUAAGUGGAAGACACGGAGCCGCAGCGAAAGCGAGUCUUAAGAGGGCGCUAGUUAGUGUAGGUAGACCCGAAACCGCAGUGAUCUACCCAUGUCCAGGUUGAAGCGCAGGUAAAAUUGCGUGGAGGACCGAACCGGUGAGCGUUGAAAAGCUUUCGGAUGAGAUGUGGGUAGGGGUGAAAUUCCAAUCGAACGCGGAGAUAGCUGGUUCUCCCCGAAAUAGCUUUAGGGCUAGCCUGAGGUAGUAAGUAUAGGCGGUAGAGCACUGAUCGGGCUAGGGGCCGUAAAGGUUACCGAACCCUGUCAAACUCCGAAUGGAUAUACUGUAGAGCCUUGGAGUCAGACUACGAGUGAUAAGAUCCGUGGUCAAAAGGGAAACAGCCCAGACCACCAGCUAAGGUCCCCAAUGUCGUACUAAGUGGAAAAGGAUGUGGGGUUUCAUAAACAACCAGGAUGUUGGCUCAGAAGCAGCCACCAUUUAAAGAGUGCGUAAUAGCUCACUGGUCGAGAGACCCUGCGCCGAAGAUUCCCGGGGCUAAAGUACGAAACCGAAGCUGUGGCUGUAUACGUAAAGUAUACGGGGUAGGGGAGCGUUCCCAUAGGGUAGAAGUCGAACUGGAAGGUUCGGUGGACUUGUGGGAAGUGAGAAUGUUGGUAUGAGUAGCGAAAAGAAAGGUGAGAAUCCUUUCCACCGAAAGCAUAAGGAUUCCUGAGCAACGAUCGUCGUCUCAGGGUAAGUCGGGACCUAAUCCGAGGCAGAGAGCGUAGGAGAUGGACAACUGGUUGAUAUUCCAGUACCGGUAGUAAUUGUUUGAGCAAUGGAGUGACACAGAAGGGCAGGCAAGCAUGCGAAUGGAAGAGCAUGUGUAAGCGUGUAGGGUGGUGCAUAGGCAAAUCCGUGCACUGAAAGCCUGAGGCGUGAUGCGGAGUGAGCAGAGAUGCGAGCGAAGUUGUUGACCCCACACUGUCGAGAAAAGCUUCUAGUGAGAGAGCUACCGCCCGUACCGUAAACCGACACAGGUAUGCGGGGAGAGAAUCCUAAGGUGCGCGGGAGAACCCUCGUUAAGGAACUCGGCAAAAUGUACCCGUAACUUCGGGAUAAGGGUAGCCACUGUUGUGAAGUCCCAUGCGGAUGGAGCAUAGAGUGGUCGCAGAGAAGAGGCCCAAGCGACUGUUUACCAUAAACACAGGUGCCUGCUAAAGCGAAAGCUGACGUAUAGGUGCUGACACCUGCCCAGUGCCGGAAGGUUAAGGAAGGAUGUUCGGAUUAGUCCAAAGCAUUCGACUGAAGCCCCGGUGAACGGCGGCCGUAACUAUAACGGUCCUAAGGUAGCGAAAUUCCUUGUCGGGUAAGUUCCGACCCGCACGAAAGGUGUAACGAUUUGGGCACUGUCUCAACGAGGGACCCGGUGAAAUUGAAAUACCUGUGAAGAUGCAGGUUACCCGCGACUGGACAGAAAGACCCCAUGGAGCUUUACUGUAACCUGACAUUGGGUUUUGAUACAUUACGUACAGGAUAGGUGGGAGGCAUGGAAAGCUGGACGCUAGUCUGGCUGGAGCCGACGUUGGGAUACCACCCUUGAUGUAUUGAAAUUCUAACCGCGAGAGUAACGAAAUCCGGGACAGUGUCAGGCGGGCAGUUUGACUGGGGCGGUCGCCUCCGAAAGAGUAACGGAGGCGCCCAAAGGUUCCCUCAGCGCGGCCGGAAAUCGCGCGAAGAGUGUAAAGGCAGAAGGGAGCUUGACUGCGAGUCAAACACGACGAGCAGGUACGAAAGUAGGGCUUAGUGAUCCGGUGGUACCGAGUGGAAGGGCCAUCGCUCAACGGAUAAAAGCUACCCUGGGGAUAACAGGCUAAUCUCUCCCAAGAGUCCAUAUCGACGGGGAGGUUUGGCACCUCGAUGUCGGCUCAUCACAUCCUGGGGCUGAAGUCGGUCCCAAGGGUUGGGCUGUUCGCCCAUUAAAGUGGU